rnacentral:lncRNA from 1 species
AUCUGUAGCUCAGCUAAUUGUCUUGCCUUAUAUCUCCUGUAAAGCUCUCGGAAAUCAACGAUUUGGCUCUGCUGUGGUGGCUGUAGCCAUUCCCCUAGGAAAUGAAUGCCCAAGCCUCUCUUUAACUAUUGACAACCUUUUCUUUUCAGGUUUGCUAGACACGAGCUGAUGAGAUCUCUGACUCUCCUCUACAGCAGGCCCUUUAGAGCAUUGCUCACACGCUCACUACAGUUAUGGUGGAUCAAGUGCUGAAAGAUUGCUUUCUCUCCUUGCUCAUUUUUCAUUCAGCCCUUUGCCCACAAGGGCUCUUGUUAGCCAUCCAGAGCAGCAAGGCUGUUUGUGCUUGUUGUGCCCUUCUUUUUCUUUUACACAUCUGUAGUCAUCAACCCUGCCCGGCUUUUUACAAGGUAAUGCUAUGCUGAUCAAGCACUGUGUAUUCUCUACCCU